rnacentral:lncRNA from 13 species
UCGUCACUGCCUGUUCCUUGAGUGUGUUAAUUGGCUUUCUCCUUAGAGACCCGAAACCCUAAGACAGCGCACCCCCACCCCCAGGCUCUUCCGUGGAGCCCCCCAGACAGGCAUUUGUGAACAGAGAAGACUUCACCGAAGCUUCCCUGGAGGGCUUUCCCAUACCCUCUCUCCCAGAGGAGGAGCACACAGGUGGCUUCCCCAGUGUUUCCCAGAGCUGGGGCGGGGCUGGGUGGGGUCACCUUCCUCACAAAGCCAGGCUCUUCCACAGCUGCAGCCCAGGGGCAGGGCAGAACACGGCUGACUGCACCCCGCUACAGGCUGGUGUGGCCUGUGUCCUCAGCACCCCAGUUGUCCCACAAGCACACAAGGGCUCCUGAGAUGAAACAGUCCCUCUUACCAGCAGGCUUCUGGGACACAGUUGGCCUCAGCCUGGACUUUCUGCUGAGACACUCACUUCAAGCGCCCAGCAGUGGCUGUUCCUGAGUUGAGUGUUUGCUGCUGGUCGAGGACCCUGUGGGUGCAGAUGUUGGCUGCCCCAGUCAUGGCAGUGUGGGCUGACCAAGGACCUUGGGCCUCCGCCACCCUCCCGGCAUCCAUGUGGUUCCACAGAGAGGCAAAUUCUGAUCUCAACGAAGACACUCCCAAGGGAUGGUCUCCGGGGGGCCCUGGGGGGCUGCAGACUUUAACACUGGGCAACUUUACCACACUUAAAAGCAAACUGGGUGCAGUCAGCGUUGCUGGCUCAGCGUUCUCUAAUAAAUAGUUUUAAUUCAAAUUCAAAGUGAGCUGAGAUUGCACCGCUGCACUUCAGCCUGGAACAAGAACAAAACUCUGCCUCAAAAAGAAGUCCCACUUCCUAUUAUUUUUUGCACACGACAAUUGCGACAGCCACUUCCUGCCCAUUUUUAAAUUCUUUCCUGAGUUUGUCUGUUUUUGUGUUUUUCCCAUUUGUUUUCUCCUUUUUAAAUUGUAAAAGCCGCCUUUGAGAAAAUGAACAAUUACUUCUUUAUUAAAUGUAAUAAGCCCUUGUCAUACAUUUUUCAGCUUUCCGUAUGCUUUUAAAUCCCUUAUGCAGAAGGUUGACAUUUGUUUCAUCAAAUCUAUCAAGCCUUUCGUUUCCUGCCUAGAACGGCCUUGCCCCAAAUAGAAGCAAGUUCGCAUGAAGCUGAGUAAUUUUCCACUGAACUCUUUGAUCCCUC